AUACCGCAUAACGUCGCAAGACCAAAGAGGGGGACCUUCGGGCCUCUUGCCAUCGGAUGUGCCCAGAUGGGAUUAGCUAGUAGGUGGGGUAACGGCUCACCUAGGCGACGAUCCCUAGCUGGUCUGAGAGGAUGACCAGCCACACUGGAACUGAGACACGGUCCAGACUCCUACGGGAGGCAGCAGUGGGGAAUAUUGCACAAUGGGCGCAAGCCUGAUGCAGCCAUGCCGCGUGUAUGAAGAAGGCCUUCGGGUUGUAAAGUACUUUCAGCGGGGAGGAAGGCGAUAAGGUUAAUAACCUUGUCGAUUGACGUUACCCGCAGAAGAAGCACCGGCUAACUCCGUGCCAGCAGCCGCGGUAAUACGGAGGGUGCAAGCGUUAAUCGGAAUUACUGGGCGUAAAGCGCACGCAGGCGGUCUGUCAAGUCGGAUGUGAAAUCCCCGGGCUCAACCUGGGAACUGCAUUCGAAACUGGCAGG
rnacentral:rRNA from 1 species